rnacentral:siRNA from 1 species
AGUUGAUGGGUCAAAUGAGUUGAU